rnacentral:lncRNA from 7 species
GAGGGGAUGGGUGAAGAGCAGAGCGGAGGGAAGGGCUGAGGGGAGGCUGAAGGCAAACCUGUGAUAAAGAAAAAGAAAAGAAAAAAUAAGAACAAAAAAUAUGAAAAAAGAGAAAAAAGAAAAAAGAAAAAUAAGAAAAAGAGAAAAAUGAAAAGAAAAAAAGAAAAAAUGAAUGAAAAAGAAAAAAAGAGUAAAGAAAAAAAAGAAAAUAAAAAAGAUAAAAAGAAAAGAAAAAAAAAGAGAAAAUGAAAUAAAAAAAGAGAAAAGAGAAAAAUAUGAAAAAAAGAAAAAAGAAAAAGAAAAAACUAAUAGAUGAAAACAAAAAAAGCAUACAAAAAACGAAAUGACAAGAGAAGAAAGGUAAAGAGAAAAGAAGAAAAAAAGCCAAGUGAAAAAGUAAAGAUAACUCAAAGGAAAGGAGUGGAUGGCGAAAUACAGAGAAAGCCAUGCAUAGCAAGCAAAGGAAAGCAAGGCAAAAUAGCAGCCAAAGCCACGAGAAUCAAGAAGUCAGUGAAGAGCAGGAAAGGAAUGGAGGACUCUGGCCAGAGCUGUGCCCCUGCUUGCCACAGGAGCUGCGCGGGAGGAGAAGAAUGUGGGCCAAAAGAAAAAACAAACAAAAAACCGAAUAAUGACAAGAGAAGAAAGGUAAAGAGAAAAGAAGAAAAAAGCCAAGUGAAAAAGUAAAGAAUAACUCAAAGGAAGGAGUGGAUGGCAAGAAAUACAGAGAAAGCAAUGCAUAGCAGAGCAAAGGAAAGCAAGGCAAAAUAGCAGCCAAAGCCACGAGAAUCAAGAAGUCAGUGAAGAGCAGGAAAGGUAAGUUUCCCUUAAAGCAAGGGGGAAUGGUAGUGGAUGGGGGCAAAAGAGAGGGGAGGGGAGGGGAAGUGAAGGAGAG